AGGCUGGAGCCCUCUGCUUGGGAGAUGCGUUUCUCUGCCACGGUGUCAGUUGUCAUGCCUUAGCGGAGUGCCCGAGGGGAGGGGCAGGAGGCCCCUUGGAUGGGCUGGCACUGCGCCCCUGCUGCUGUCAGAGUGACUCAGAUCCCCUCCUGGCACCAGCCUGCUCAGGCAGUGCAAGCUGUUCCUUUGGCUCCUGGAGAUUGGGCUGGUUCUUCACUUCUUCCUCCCCUAGGACUGAGGCCAGGGAGGAGGGGUGCGGAUUUCUGUGUUUCCACCCUUUUCUCUUCUCCCAGCACAGGGGUGCGAGAGGAGGAAGUGGAGGCUGCAGUGCUGGGCUCUGGGUUCAUUCCCUGUGAUUCCUCUGGGCUGCCCCAAGUCCUGCUCAGCACAUACACAACAGGACACCAGGUGUGCUGGACAAAUGACCAGGCAGUGUGGUACUUGAAUGCAAGGGUUUCCUGAAAAGUUACCAUCAAAAACUGGGUCAGGUGGACGAAUGCAGAUGGAACAUCGGCAGUGAUUUCCUCUGAGUAAUGACGUGCCCUAAGAUUGUUCAGCACAGAGGACUUAAGCCACAGAAGGGAAAAGAAACGUUGAAAUCAGCCAAGGGAAGAAGCACAUAGUCUAGGAACAAUUCAAAAUGUGGAGAUCCAGCUGGGUGCAGUGGCUCUUGCCUGUAAUCCCAACACUUUGGGAGGCAGAGGCAUCUUCCUGGAGACAGGAAGGUAGGCACUGUGGAAUCAGCGGUGCGUAGAACAGUGAGGAUUUGGGGCUGAACCCAGCCCAGGUGGGCCAAGCCGUGGCACCAGCCGGACUGCAGUCUGAUGGAACUUCCCCUUCCUGCCCAGCAGAUGGCGAGCGUGUGCUGCUGGUGCCUCUUUCCAAAGGACGUUGAAUUGCUUGACAGGUGUUCUUUACUUUAUGAAUGAAGCCAGAGCAGCCCACCUUCCUGCAUCUCUACCACCAUGGCACCAUGCCCUGUGAUGGGUGGGCUGGAGUCAAAUAUGUAGCAGGCAGCCAGGGUCAGUUUGUGGCCACUGCUGCCCCCUCUUCCUACAGUCUCCUCACUGAGUGCCCCUUCCCUGUUGGGUUCAACACAUCUGUGCUCCUGUAAGCCCUCAGCCUCCUCGUUCUCUUCCUCAACUUCUACCACCAGACACAUCUGAGAAGCAAGCAAGAGAGGCUGAACUAGGAGCAGGACCCAGGGACUGAAACCAGCACAGCAUCCCCACAGAGAAUUGGGUGGAAGGCAGCAUGGCUUCCAGCUUACUGGUGCUGAGCAGAUUGCUCUGGGUCUCCAUUGUAUCCUCUGAAGGAAGGAGGAGGAUUGCCUUCUGUCCAGAUCUCAGGAUCAAACAAAUAGGUCCAAUUUCCUGUGCUCACUUCAGUUAGAGCACUUCUCAUGUGACUUUGUAGCUUUGUGUGCAUCUCCUUCCUCUACUAGACCUAAGCCCCUCACGGGAGGGACUCUCUUAUUCUUGAUGUUCCCCACACCUGGAAUUUCAAUAAACAUCUCAAUAAA
rnacentral:lncRNA from 1 species